CAGGUCAUCCGUGCUGUAAUGAGACAUAAGGUAAGCAUGGAUUCCCUUUCGUACGAGUACGACGGUUCUGUUCCUGCUUACCGAUGUUGA
rnacentral:sRNA from 1 species